rnacentral:rRNA from 1 species
CCCCUAGAUGUUCUGGGCCGCACGCGCGCUACACUGAACAGUUCAACAAGUCUUAACCUUGGCCGAUAGGUCUGGGUAAUCUUUGAACGCUGUUCGUGAUUGGGAUAGACCUUUGCAAUUAUGGGUCUUCAACGAGGAAUUCCUAGUAAACGCAAGUCAUCAGCUUGCAUUGAUUACGUCCCUGCCCUUUGUACACACCGCCCGUCGCACCUACCGAUUGAACGUUUUAGUGAGGUAUUUGGACUGGACCUUCGGAGGUUCGCGCCUCCGUUGCUGUUCGGGAAGACUCCCAAACUUGAGCGUUUAGAGGAAGUAAAAGUCGUNACA